UACGUAGGCAGCGAGCGUUGUUCGGAGUUACUGGGCGUAAAGCGUGCGUAGGCGGUGUCUUAAGUUUGUUGUGAAAUCUCCCGGCUCAACUGGGAGGGUGCGGCGAAUACUGAGAUGCUGGAGUGCGGGAGAGGUAAGCGGAAUUCCUGGUGUAGCGGUGAAAUGCGUAGAUAUCAGGAGGAACACCUGCGGUGUAGACGGCUUACUGGACCGUAACUGACGCUGAGGCACGAAAGCGUGGGUAGCAAACAGG
rnacentral:rRNA from 1 species